AGGGGUAGAGGGAAAUGAAAGAACAAGAUGUAUCAAACUUAUAAUAAAUUUGUAAUAAUUAGGUUGUAUUUGGAAGUUGAAUGUAAAAGAAUGUAAUUUGUAAUGUAAAAUGUAAUAUGUGAGAUGAAUGCUUGUAAUAGUAAGUAGAUUUAUGUUUUUGAUACUUCCUUAUGCAAUUUUUGGUUGAAAUGUGUUCCUAGUUGGAACUUCAUACAUUGUGUUGAUUGCAACGCCUUGAACGUACAGGGG
rnacentral:lncRNA from 1 species